UUUAUUCUUUGUAAGUACACUUAACUGGCAUUUUACUUAAUUUAUAUUAGCACAGAUUUUUUUAAAGAAUGCUUUUAAGAUUUGAAGUACACGGCAAUUGCACAUUUAAUACAAUUAAGCACUCUUCUUUUCAAAAGGGAAAGUUUAACAGUAGACUUACAGUGCUUACAGUGGCAAUCAAGUCAUAUCAGCUUCCCAAGCAAAGCUGAUGCAAUAACCCAUUGUUAUUUAAUGUCAGUGGGAAGAUAAUGAUUAAAAAGAUUAAUGUUGAUGAAAAAACUCUGUGUUGCAUAAUUGAGACAAAGGCCAUUGUGUGAGGAGGAAACGGGGGGGGGGGGGGAAGAGAGACAGAAUUUAGCUAGAAGAAGGAAGUCCUUCAUUGUUGCUGAAUAUUGCCCUUGCACUCCAAGUAAGUAUUUAUUUAUGUGUUUCUUAUCAUUUUUACAAAUUAAUGUCAUGUAACACAGUAGAAUAAAAUACUCCUGCGUGGAUCACAGCUAUAUAGUUGUUAAAACUGAAGUCACCCUUUAUUUCUUUUUGUUACUUAAGAAUAAACUUUAAUAUUUUACGAAUGCUGAAAUCUUAAAGUCAUAAUGAAGUACACAUAUAUAUAUCGACACUGCUGCAGAGCUGGAUUGGAUCAUGUUUGCCAUUGAUCCUGGCUCCAUCUUUGGACUUUCUGAUCCCUGCCCUGGCCAUGCUUUCUGCUCAGUCAGGGGCUGCUGUGGCCUGCAGGGGGCAGUGCACUGAACCGGAGGAGCCUGUGGCCCCAGCACACCCAUUGAGAGGCAUGGCUGUGGUGGCAGGUAUGGUGCAGCUCGCUGUGGGUUUGACUGGUCUGAGUGGCUUUGCACUGGGACGUUGUGCACCAUUAGUUCUGGCUCCUCUCCUCUGCCUUCUGGGGUUUUUCAUCUACAGGGAGGCAGCGCUGCUUUGUUCUGACCACUGGGGCAUGGCUGCACUGUACUUCUAUCUGUGAUAGUAACAUGG
ensembl:lncRNA